UAUCACAUGAGCUUUGAAGUUUCAGAAAAUCAUGCCUAAAGGUCAAGAAAAGUGUUGGUAGACACCUGAAGGGAGGGGCCUAUCAGGCCACACCCCUGGGAGGAACUUUGAGAAGCCAAAUGGUGUGAAAUCCAAUAGCCAUUUAUGGAAGGAGCUCACAAGCUGUUUGCCAGUUUGAUGAAGAGCAGCAUUAGUAGACACAGGUAAAGAACGAAAACAAGUGCACAAGAGAACUCGAGACCCAGGGGGACAAUGCCAACGCCGUGUUAAGAUGAACUGAACGUCUCUGAGAAACUCUCUAGCAGAAACUGGAAUCGCAAAAACCAAAAAUAAGUAAAACAAAAUGGUUGCACAUGA